UUCUGUUAGGAGAAUACUCAGAUGCUGUUUAUGUCCUUUUCCUUAGGAACAGUGAAAGGAGAAUAUGCAGAGAAGUUUCCAAGCUCCACUCCUUUGUUCUUGGGUCAAAAGAGAAUUAGAGAGGGUGACUACUUCCGUAGGCGGCUGUAACUCAAGAAAGCAUUCACAGUACAUCAUUGCUGAACAGUAAAAGCUAGUUUAACUUCAGCCUCCGAAGAUCACCAUAUGCAGACCUCUGUUCAAGUUAUGGUGAUGCCUCAACCUUUAGUUAUUUGCUAUCACAAGAGAGAUGCCUUCGAACUUGUUUAAAGUCAGUCUCUACCUCUUUAGGUGUGGUCUAGGAUAAUUGGCUCCAAGGCAGAAAUUUGUGGUGGUGGUGGUGUUUGUGUGUGUGUUUUGUUUUUUUUAAUUGAUGAAACUCAUUAUCUUCUUGUAACUGAAUUUAUAAGUGUCCUGUAAUUUGCAUUGCUCAGUCUCAGCAUGUAAUGAGAACUCUGAGGAUCUCUAUCCAGAGACGCUGUUCUUCAUUUUCUAGAAUGUACAGCCCUGAAACUUCCUCUGGUCUUCCACAGCAUUGCUUGCACUAAGAUGGUGGUGUUUCAUACUGCUGUACACACUACUUCAGAUGGUGUUAAUACUGGAUAAGCAAGACUCUCCAGUAGGGCUAUAAGAUUUAAUAACACCUGUGUGUUUUAAAAGCAUUGUCAUAAGUUAUAUGUAUAUGGUAAACUUGAAAAAUACAACCAAUGUUAUAAAUGGCAUGAGUUAUAUGAAAAGUCUGUUAAACUACUUGAACAAUCUUGUGAUGUUAUUUUUGAAAUACUAACAAAUGCUGCUGCACAAAGUAUUACUUUAGACAAAUUGACAUAAGCACAUAAUACCUUCCUUAUCUCAGUUCAUCUCCUAGCUUCCUAUAUUGCUUUAAAAAUACUUGAGCUUUAUGCAGUAUCUUUAAUAUUAAGAGCCAUGAGGAAAAAAAGGUCUAUAUCUUAAAAAUGAAACGAAGUGGGAAAACCUUUCUGUUCGUAUUAUGAAAGUGGCUAGAGGACAUAAACAGCUUCCAUUAUAAUAGGAAGGCCUGAUUUCCUACCCUUACCAGCUGGUAAUAUGAGGUAUGAAAUGAAAUCUGCACCCUUGGAUUAUUGAUGCUCUGUUGACUUCCAUUGGGCUACCUGUAAUGGUCCACUUGUGCACAAAGUCAUCUGAGGUAGCUAACUACUGCAACUGCCAUCCGAAGUUAGAUUAUUCCUGCAAUUAUUAGAGAAGAUGUUUGCCUCACAAAAUUUAACAGAGGAAGAACUGGCAAAUCAGUUCAAGUCAUACAUUGCAUGAAUAAGCUGAGGAGAGUAAAACAGAAGGAUAUGUGCGCAGUUCUCAGAUGGAGUGUAUGGGGAGACAUAGUCUAGCCUCUCAAUCUGUGAGAAAGAACAAUAAAUUGCUAGAGAUGGAUUGAGGGGUAAGUUUA
rnacentral:lncRNA from 1 species